UCCUUGGUGGUCCAGUGGUUAAGACUCUGCACUUCGAAUGCAGAGAGCUUAGGUUCAAUCCCUGGUUGGGGAA